rnacentral:rRNA from 1 species
AUUGAACGCUGGCGGCAUGCUUUACACAUGCAGGUCGAACGGUAACAGGCCUCCGGGCGCUGACGAGUGGCGAACGGGUGAGUAAUGCAUCGGAACGUGCCCAGUCGUGGGGGAUAACUAUCCGAAAGGAUAGCUAAUACCGCAUACGAUCUGCGGAUGAAAGCGGGGGACCUUCGGGCCUCGCGCGAUUGGAGCGGCCGAUGUCAGAUUAGGUAGUUGGUGGGGUAAAGGCUCACCAAGCCAACGAUCUGUAGCUGGUCUGAGAGGACGACCAGCCACACUGGGACUGAGACACGGCCCAGACUCCUACGGGAGGCAGCAGUGGGGAAUUUUGGACAAUGGGCGCAAGCCUGAUCCAGCAAUGCCGCGUGCAGGAAGAAGGCCUUCGGGUUGUAAACUGCUUUUGUACGGAACGAAACGGCUCUGGUUAAUACCUGGGGCUAAUGACGGUACCGUAAGAAUAAGCACCGGCUAACUACGUGCCAGCAGCCGCUGUAACAC